rnacentral:rRNA from 1 species
UACGAAGGGGGCUAGCGCUGCUCGGAAUCACUGGGCGUAAAGGGUGCGUAGGCGGGUCUUUAAGUCAGGGGUGAAAUCCUGGAGCUCAACUCCAGAACUGCCUUUGAUACUGAGGAUCUUGAGUUCGGGAGAGGUGAGUGGAACUGCGAGUGUAGAGGUGAAAUUCGUAGAUAUUCGCAAGAACACCAGUGGCGAAGGCGGCUCACUGGCCCGAUACUGACGCUGAGGCACGAAAGCGUGGGGAGCAAACAGG